AUGGCUGUCCCAAGCGUACUCUCAAAGUCCUUUAUUGUACAAUGUCAUGUUAGGGGAGGGGUGCCGAAGGACUAAUGCGUACACAGCGAAAUAGAUAAAUAUGCCAAGCCUUUUCUUUUUCUCUUUUUAAAUCAGGCAUUUAUAAACAAGAAAGCAUACAUUAAUUACAUAAAAAUAGUUUUCGAAUAGUAGAGUAAGUCGUCAUAUCGUCAUUAGCAGCAGCAAAGGAGAAAACAGGGACGGUGAUGCAGACGCUCCUGGCGGACGUAAAGGUAGAGCUGUGUUUUUUUUCCUUAAUUGAAAAAAAAUGUCGUUUGUGACUCCUGACUUACAGCAAGAAUGAGAGGCCUCCCUCUGGCCUGGUGGACGCGGCCGGAGGGGUGGGGGGGGUGGGGGGACGGAACCUGGGGAGCGCAGUGCCCACGGGCUGGUUGCUCGGAAAACUGGCAAAGGGUUUCUCCGUCCCCUCUGGCAGAUGAGUGUGGUCUUCCUCUGUUAAAAACAACCCAGAAAACAAGACAACUACCAGGUAAGAAAAGAGUUUCCGAAAAAGGAACCACCAUAUACACGUAUGAUACAACAGUGUAAAAGGAAACCAAGUAUUUACACGGUCGCUGUUUUUACAUCGGCGAGUUCUGUACGAAAAGCAGAGUUAUGUGUAUGAGUUAGCUGCUCCAUAGAUAUGAAUGUUAUUGCUGUUGUUUUUUCCCUUCGUUAAAAAUCUUCCUUCAGCAUAGAAAUAAUGAAUAAUUAAACUGAAUACACAAUCAUUUCGAUAAUGGAUAUUACACACUGGGAGAGUCAACAGCCUACGAGAUAGAUUCCUUUUCUCCCUUCUUCUGAGAAGAAACGCAACUGCAGCUGCGCUGACAGGAGCCAGGUCUCGGCCCGGGGACGGCCCGGGCGCAGUGGUCCAGAGUGGGCCCUGCAGUGCCAGCUGCCCCUGUGACCUGGCCCCUGGAGGAUGGAAGCUGCCAGGACAACCCCAUGCCCCCUAGCCUCACCCAGGAGCUGCCCAGGAAGGCUCGAGCUGCUGGUGAACGGGGAGCCCACCGCGUCUGGUUCCUGCACCCCAGCUCGGGGGCUGCGGGACCCUCAGGAAGGGGCAAGGAGGGCUGGGAGGGGCAGGCCUGGGUGGGACAGGGCCCCAGGGCUCCAGUCUGCCCAUCUCUCAGGGAAGAGCUGCCACUGCAUAUCCAGCUCUUCCUGAUGUUGUAGGACAAAGCCGGCUAAUGGAGGCGUGGACCCGAUGGCCAAGAUGUGCAGGUGACCGAAGAGGGCAAUGCAAGGGCAAGGAGUGGCAGUGCCCCCGCACACAAGUGAGAAAAGUGUAUCUCCCUCUGAAGUUAAACACUCAAAAGCAGACGGAGCACAUUGGGGCGCCCCGGGCGACAGGUCCCACGGGCCAGCCCGGGGCCCUUGACCUCACUAUGAUCUUCAGACUUGGCAACAGAGCACAGCCACACAGAAGCACACUGACACACUUAAAGCUUUGCUCCAACUAAAUCAUUUAGUUUCCCUUGAAGAAAUGACUGAAAAAACACAACUCUGGAAAAACAAGGUUGAACACAGCAUUCUGAGUGUUGCAUAACACACCGACCCUUUACAUGACACGGUAAUAAUGCCCAUCGAGGGAUAUACGUAUGGCAGAGGUUUAAAAUUCCAUGCAUACAGAUUUAAUAACUGCAAAAGAAAAACAAAAGCAAAAAAAAAUAAAAUUCCAAACAAACGCUGCAUAUACAUGAUGUCCCUUCUGCAUUGCACUUUAGGAGGGGGUCCAGCAGCACCCGGCACCCCCCUGCAGUAAACCAAGGGCAAAACUCUGCAGACGCUGUCACCACCCAAGUCUCUGCUCGCCCUGCUGGCGGUGGCGG